GCAGUAGGGAAUCUUCGGCAAUGGGGGCAACCCUGACCGAGCAACGCCGCGUGAGUGAAGAAGGUUUUCGGAUCGAAAAGCUCUGUUGUAAGAGAAGAACGUGUGUGAGAGUGGAAAGUUCACACAGUGACGGUAACUUACCAGAAAGGGACGGCUAACUACGUGCCAGCAGCCGCGGUAAUACGUAGGUCCCGAGCGUUGUCCGGAUUUAUUGGGCGUAAAGCGAGCGCAGGCGGUUUAAUAAGUCUGAAGUUAAAGGCAGUGGCUUAACCAUUGUUCGCUUUGGAAACUGUUAGACUUGAGUGCAGAAGGGGAGAGUGGAAUUCCAUGUGUAGCGGUGAAAUGCGUAGAUAUAUGGAGGAACACCGGUGGCGAAAGCGGCUCUCUGGUCUGUAACUGACGCUGAGGCUCGAAAGCGUGGGGAGCAAACAGGAUUAGAUACCCUGGUAGUCCACGCCGUAAACGAUGAGUGCUAGGGUGUUAGGCCCUUUCCGGGGCUUAGUGCCGCAGCUAACGCAUUAAGCACUCCGCCUGGGGAGUACGACCGCAAGGUUGAAACUCAAAGGAAUUGACGGGGGCCCGCACAAGCGGUGGAGCAUGUGGUUUAAUUCGAAGCAACGGGAAGAACCUUACCAGGUCUUGACAUCCCGAUGCUAUUCCUAGAGAUAGGAAGUUUCUUCGGAACAUCGGUGACAGGUGGUGCAUGGUUGUCGUCAGCUCGUGUCGUGAGAUGUUGGGUUAAGUCCCGCGACGAGCGCAACCCCUAUUGUUAGUUGCCAUCAUUAAGUUGGGCACUCUAGCGAGACUGCCGGUAAUAAACCGGAGGAAGGUGGGGAUGACGUCAAAUCAUCAUGCCCCUUAUGACCUGGGCUACACACGUGCUACAAUGGUUGGUACAGCGAGUCGCGAGUCGGAGACGGCAAGCAAAUCUCUUAAAGCCAAUCUCAGUUCGGAUUGUAGGCUGCAACUCGCCUACAUGAAGUCGGAAAAGCUAGUAAUCGCGGAUCAGCACGCCGCGGUGA
rnacentral:rRNA from 1 species